AGCAGCCGCGGUAAUUCCAGCUCCAAUAGCGUAUAUUAAAGUUGUUGCAGUUAAAAAGCUCGUAGUUGAAUUUCGGGAUCAAUAUGUUGGUCGUGCCUCGGUACGUACUGGCAUUAUUGGUUUCUACCUUCUGAAGAACCUCGAUGUCAUUAAUUUGGUGUCUUGGGGAAUCAGGACUGUUACUUUGAAAAAAUUAGAGUGUUUAAAGCAGGCUCACGCUUGAAUACAUUAGCAUGGAAUAAUGAAAUAGGACGUUUGAUUCUAUUUUGUUGGUUUCUAGGAUUGACGUAAUGAUUAAUAGGGAUAGUUGGGGGCAUUAGUAUUCAAUUGUCAGAGGUGAAAUUCUUGGAUUUAUUGAAGACUGACUACUGCGAAAGCAUUUGCCAAGGAUGUUUUCAUUAAUCAAGAACGAAAGUUAGGGGAUCGAAGACGAUCAGAUACCGUCGUAGUCUUAACCAUAAACUAUGCCGACUAGGGAUCGGAUGAUGUUAAUUUUUAAUGA
rnacentral:rRNA from 1 species